rnacentral:rRNA from 1 species
CCAAUAGCGUAUAUUAAAGUUGUUGCAGUUAAAAAGCUCGUAGUUGAAUUUCGGGAUUCUACCGUCGGUCGGGCUAACAAGUCUGUACUGGUGUGUAGAAUUUCUACCUUCUGGGGAACUAUCAUGUUAUUAAUUUAGCGUGGUGGGAAACCAGGACCUUUACCUUGAAAAAAUUAGAGUGUUCAAAGCAGGCUUACGUCUGAAUACAUUAGCAUGGAAUAAUAGAAUAGGACGGUGGUCCUGUUUUGUUGGUUUCUGAAUCACCGUAAUGAUUAAUAGGGAUAGUUGGGGGCAUUAGUAUUCAAUUGUCAGAGGUGAAAUUCUUGGAUUUAUUGAAGACUAACUUCUGCGAAAGCAUUUGCCAAGGAUGUUUUCAUUAAUCAAGAACGAAAGUUAGGGGAUCGAAGACGAUCAGAUACCGUCGUAGUCUUAACCAUAAACUAUGCCGACUAGGGAUCGGACGAUGUUAAAUUUUAUUGACUCGUUCGGCGCCUUACG